GAAUAUACCGAAAUUGGAUGCAGUUUUCGUCGAUCAUUCUUCCGUCAUGAAAGGUGCUAUACCCGUGUUGCCGAUAAGCUUGGCUUGGCUGUGCUUGGUUUUCAACGUCAUCGUACCGGGAUCAUGUAAAAACACCUACGUCUCUUGCGAGGGUUUCUCAGCCGUCCGUAAUAGAGGUACACCGGGGAAUAGCACGCACCCAAAGCGAAAUAAUUUCUGUAGGC